rnacentral:tRNA from 1 species
GCGCCCGUAGUUAAAUGGAUAUAAUAGAGGCCUCCGAAGCCUUUGUUGCAGGUUCGAUUCCCGCCGGGCGCA